GGAGAGGUGGCCGAGCGGUUGAAGGCGGGCGCCUCGAAAGCGUCUGUGCGGACAAAAUUCGCACCCCGGGUUCGAAUCCCGGCCUCUCCGCCA
rnacentral:tRNA from 1 species